AUACGGAAGGUGCGAGCGUUAUCCGGAUUCAUUGGGUUUAAAGGGAGCGCAGGCGGAGAUGCAAGCGUGACGUCAAAUUUCGGGGCUCAACCCCGUCUCGCGUCGCGAACUGCGUCCCUUGGUUGCGGGAAGGGGAGGCGGAACUCGUGGUGUAGCGGUGAAAUGCAUAGAUAUCACGAAGAACUCCGAUCGCGAAGGCAGCCUUCCGGCCCGUCAACGACGCUCAUGCUCGAAGGUGCGGGUAUCAAACAGGAUUAGAUACCCUGGUAGUCCGCACAGUAAACGAUGGACACCCGCGGUUUGGCCUGUAUGGCUGAGCCGCCAAGCGAAAGCGUUAAGUGUCCCACCUGGGGAGUACGCCGGCAACGGUGAAACUCAAAGGAAUUGACGGGG
rnacentral:rRNA from 1 species